UACGGAGGGUGCUAGCGUUGUUCGGAAUCACUGGGCGUAAAGGGCGUGUAGGCGGUCUGUUAAGUCUGAUGUGAAAUCCCCUCGCUCAACGAGGGAACUGCGUCGGAUACUGGCAGACUCGAGUACCGGAGAGGAAGGUGGAAUUCCCGGUGUAGCGGUGAAAUGCGUAGAUAUCUGGAGGAAUACCGGUGGCGAAGGCGGCAUCCUGGACCGACAUUGACGCUGAAAACCGAAAGCUAGGGGAGCAAACGGG
rnacentral:rRNA from 1 species